UGGGGAAUAUUGCGCAAUGGGCGAAAGCCUGACGCAGCGACGCCGCGUGAGGUAUGAAGGUUUUCGGAUCGUAAACCUCUGUCAGAAGGGAAGAAACCGCACUGUGCUAAUCAGCAGUGCCUUGACGGUACCUUCAAAGGAAGCACCGGCUAACUCCGUGCCAGCAGCCGCGGUAAUACGGAGGGUGCACGCGUUAAUCGGAAUUACUGGGCGUAAAGCGCACGUAGGCUGCUUUGUAAGUCAGGGGUGAAAUCCCACGGCUCAACCGUGGAACUGCCUUUGAUACUGCUUAGCUUGAGUCCGGGAGAGGGUGGCGGAAUUCCAGGUGUAGGAGUGAAAUCCGUAGAUAUCUGGAGGGACAUCAGUGGCGAAGGCGGCCACCUGGACCGGUAUUGACGCUGAGGUGCGAAAGCGUGGGGAGCAAACAGG
rnacentral:rRNA from 1 species